GUUGUUGCAGUUAAAAGCUCGUAGUUGAAUUUCGGGAUCAAAUUGUUGGUCGUGCUUCGGUACGCACUGGCAUUAUUGGUUCCUACCUUCUGAAGAACCGCGAUGUCAUUAAUUUGGUGUCGUGGGGAAUCAGGACUGUUACUUUGAAAAAAUUAGAGUGUUUAAAGCAGGCGUACGCUUGAAUACAUUAGCAUGGAAUAAUGAAAUAGGACGUUUGAUUCUAUUUUGUUGGUUUCUAGGAUCGACGUAAUGAUUAAUAGGGAUAGUUGGGGGCAUUAGUAUUCAAUUGUCAGAGGUGAAAUUCUUGGAUUUAUUGAAGACUAACUACUGCGAAAGCAUUUGCCAAGGAUGUUUUCAUUAAUCAAGAACGAAAGUUAGGGGAUCGAAGACGAUCAGAUACCGUCGUAGUCUUAACCAUAAACUAUGCCGACUAGGGAUCGGAUGAUGUUAAUUUUUUAAUGACUCAUUCGGCACCU
rnacentral:rRNA from 1 species